CCCGCUGAACUUAAGCAUAUCAAUAAGCGGAGGAAAAGAAACCAACAGGGAUUGCCCUAGUAACGGCGAGUGAAGCGGCAACAGCUCAAAUUUGAAAUCUGGCUCUUUCAGGGUCCGAGUUGUAAUUUGUAGAGGGCGCUUUGGCGUUGGCAGCGGUCUAAGUUCCUUGGAACAGGACGUCACAGAGGGUGAGAAUCCCGUAUGUGGUCGCUUGUCUUCGCCGUGUAAAGCCCCUUCGACGAGUCGAGUUGUUUGGGAAUGCAGCUCAAAAUGGGUGGUAAAUUCCAUCUAAAGCUAAAUACAGGCGAGAGACCGAUAGCGAACAAGUACCGUGAGGGAAAGAUGAAAAGAACUUUGGAAAGAGAGUUAAACAGUAUGUGAAAUUGCUGAAAGGGAAACGCUUGAUGUCAGUCACGUUGGCUAGGGAUCAACCUUGCUUCUCGCUGGGUGUAUUUCCUAGUGGACGGGUCAGCAUCAGUUUCGGUCGCUGUACAAGGGCAAAGGGAACGUGGCACUCCUUGGAGUGUGUUAUAGCCUUUCGUCGUAUGCAGUGGUUGGGACUGAGGAACUCGGCACGAAAUCUAUUUUGUGCUUAGGAUGCUGGCAUAAUGGCCUUAAGCGACCCGUCUUGAAACACGG
rnacentral:rRNA from 1 species